AUACGUAGGGGGCGAGCGUUGUCCGGAAUGAUUGGGCGUAAAGGGCGCGUAGGCGGCGCGGUAAGUCUGGAGUGAAAGUCCUGCUUUCAAGGUGGGAAUCGCUUUGGAUACUGCCGCGCUUGAGUGCAGGAGAGGUUAUCGGAAUUCCCGGUGUAGCGGUGAAAUGCGUAGAGAUCGGGAGGAACACCAGUGGCGAAGGCGGGUAACUGGACUGCAACUGACGCUGAGGCGCGAAAGUGUGGGGAGCAAACAGGAUUAGAUACCCUGGUAGUCCACACUGUAAACGAUGAAUGCUAGGUGUAGGAGGUAUCGACCCCUUCUGUGCCGCAGUAAACACAGUAAGCAUUCCGCCUGGGGAGUACGGCCGCAAGGUUGAAACUUAAAGGAAUUGACGGGG
rnacentral:rRNA from 1 species